rnacentral:lncRNA from 1 species
UUAAUUAAGGAGAUUAGAUGUAGAAAUAUUACUGAACAACAGAACAAGAUCUUAUGAAAAGAAGGAAAGCCAACUUCAGACUAUGUUAAACAGAAGACAAAGAUAUAGUUGCAAGGGGGAAGCUAUAAAGAAAUAACACAACAGAAACACUUUUCCUACGCACUUUGACAGUUUGACCUUGUCAGUUCUUCCUCUUCUUUUUCUUUUUAUUUGACUAUUAUUACCUUCUCUCUUUGGGGAGGUUAUUAUGCAUUAUGUAAGUGUAAAGCCUUUGUAGGAACUUGCUAUCUGCCACUUUUACAAGGAUCUUUGUUCAUUAUUUCUUUUGUUUUGAUGGUCAAUGAAAUGGAUGUUGUUUAGGUGUUCUAUCAGUUCAUCACGUGACCAAGGUUCUAAUUAAGAAGGAUUUUCCAAUAAAAGUUGCGCAAGAUUUAUAAUUUUCAAGCAUAUAAUGAUAAUGUUUUCCCAAUAAAUAUACAGAUUCUUUGACUACUGCUUCUCAUGCAUCAUAUUGGUUUCUUUCCAGAAGGAUUAAAUGUUGAAAAAAGAGGUCAUUUUUGUUGGAAAGAAACAAUCUUUAUGGACCUACUGAAACCAUUUUGUUGGAAAGAAACAAGAUUUGUGAACCUACUGAAACUAACUGUAGCAGCAAUAAAAUUCCCAACAACAACAACAACAAUAUAUGUGCCUAAAUAUAGGAUAUGAAUUUCUGGUAACAUAUGCACAUAAAUGUUAAAUUUAAAAAUGAAAAUUUUGAAGUAGAGAAACUUAAAUCGUGAAACUUUUGGUCUAAAAAGAGAAAGACAACAAAACUUACUUGAUGCAGGCCUCGACUGUAGUUGAGCUAGGACCAUUAGGACUAUUAAGAAGAGGCUGCUCCAGAAAACAUAAGAAAAUUGUCUUACAAAUAAUAUAAAUUUCUUUUAAACAGUGGUACACAGAUCGAGAAAUAUGUUUAAUACAGAUAGGACCUUUAAAUACCUUACGUUGCUUUCCAAAUGAAAAUAUAACAUUUUAGUAUAUUUUUUAUAAUCUCAAUAUUAUGGCACUUGGAAAUAUGGUAAUAGGUGAAAGCAUUGACAAUAUGUAUGCACACGGUGUACAAAUAUUGUGUGUGUGUGUAAACUACUUGUCAACAAUGGAACCCAAGAUGUAAACUAACUAGUAUUUAUGUAGGAAAUCUGCACAAAUCAGAUUAUCAAACAAAGUUAAGAAGUACAUCUACUCGGUACAAUUUUCACCAUUUCUAGAUAGCAAAUGUUGAUCUCUGAUGAAAAGCUCCAGUUGGGUGAAGAACAUACUGUGAAACUAUGUUAUACAUAUGGAUACCAGCCACCUUUUAGUAUAAGGAUUUAAAAUCAUAAGGUUUUCCUUAAUACCAAAAAGGGAUUUCAGCCAGAAUUCUGAGGGAUUGCGUCAAUCAGCCACCAGGACAGACCAAGUUAAAGUUGAUUUCAGGCAAUUCCGCAUGAUCAUCUGAAAUGUACCAGUGAGUCAGUGACAACAUCAAGUUGACAAGGGUCCAGUGGUGUAAAUUAUCAAGUCCGAGCACAAUUGGUGAAAAACACAUGUAACAAAAGGAUCUGUUAUUUAUCAAGAUCGUAUGAUCCUUCAGAUAAUCUUCCCAACAAAAAAUAUUCCAAAUGUGAAGCAAACUUUAAAGAUAAACCCAAAAAGGGCCACAAGACAACAUAUUAAUAACACAACAAAAAUAUCUAAAGCUUGGAAUCUUCCUUAAAGUAACAAUUUCAUAACAUGAAUCAUGUAUACAUGCAAAAUUAAACGAAGCAUGAAACAAAAUUUCAAUAUACCUGAAAGCCUUGAGAAGAAAUGUUAUUCCAAGGAUCGUUGGCAACCUGUAAACCUUCAAUUGAACAAUGAUAACCAUGACCCUGGAAAUAUGUAGGACUCAGAGUUCGAUAGUUGCUACUGAAGUUAUCAAAUGUGACAGAUUCAAGGUGCAUAAGAUCAACCGGUUUAAGAGAAACAAAACAAUAAAUAUGGAGAAAAGCAAGGUUCAUUGUACCACUCAGGGUGAUAUGUACCGGUCCGAUAGGGGACCGGUAUGGAUGGUACAUACUAUUCUGUCGGUAUGCCCUACUGUAUCAUGUGUUGAUACAUCAGUACAAACCGUACCAAUAGUCGGUCAAUAUACCAAUAUAGACCAGUAAGACCAACCAUGGAGAAAAGAUCCAAGAAAAAAAGAAAAUGUUUAAUGACUAGUGAGCAGCAUAAUUAUGAUUAUCUGGUAUUUAGGUGCAUAAUUAUGAGUAGCUCCUAAUAAAUGAAAAAGAAUAUUUUCAAGUGAAAGCUAUUACAAAAGUCUAGACAAAAGAUGAUGUUAGUCACACUAUAAUUUCUCAACUACAACAAUUACGAAGGAUUAAAACUAAAUAGCAAUAGGAUGUAGGACUUUAUGAAUUGGCAACAAUUAAAUAAAUAUUUAAACAAGUACCCCCUGUCCUUUAAAUAUCUUAGCUCACUAGUCUAUGGUAUCUUGCAAGUGAAAAAAAAAGAAGACUUGACAGCUUUAUCAAUAAAAGAGUUAACAACGAGAUAAAUAAGGGGUUGAAUGCAAUCAUUUAAUGAAAAGCAAUUACUCAGAUCAGUGAAUAGUUCAUAGACAACUAAAUCAUUCAGUAGAAGUAACUAGAGCAAAUAUUUUUUCGCUUGAGCAAUAUUUAUUUAUAUCCUUUACAAAUUCUUUGCUCCAACAACAGUACAUCUAGGCCAAAGCCAGCUAUUGUUAUCUGAAAAUACCCAAAAUAACUCCUAUAAGAUAUUCAUAGAUUUCUACUUCUUUUUUCCAUUCCUCUUUUUUUUCUUGUGUGAUCUAUCUUUAUUUUUCUUAUGUUAGUGUUCUUGCAUGUUCCUAGAAGCUCAAACCUGCACACUCCAUCCUGUUCACUUAUGCAGGCUUAUUGGACUGAUCUAGAAGGACUGAACCCUUAUUUUCCUUUAAAUUUUAAUAAGCCUUGGUCAGGAGACUCCAAAAGUAAGAUGCUGAAAUUUUCACCUGAUACUUAAAGUUAUGCAGAAAAUAAAAAAAAUACUGAAAAAUGACCACAAAAUUUUAAUUUUGUGAAUAUAAGCGAAUAACCCAUUAACCGAAAUUUUUGACCAAGAAUAUAGUUCCCAUUUUAUCGGAUAUCCCUGAAGAGACAACAAGCAUAUAGUUAUUGUUCUAAAUAGUAAUUGCACCUGCUGAUAUAAUGGUUCAUAGUUAAUAUAUAUAAAUAUUUAUAUAUAAAUAUAUAUAUAUAUAUAUAUAUAUAUAUAUAUAUAUAUAAACGAGGCGACAUCGCCGAGGCGAUGCAACGUCACCUUUUAUAAAUAAAUAAUAUAUAUAAUCUUUAUAUAUAUAAAUAUAUAUUUAUUAAUAUAUAUAUAUAUAUAUAUAUAUAUAUAUAUAUAUAUAUAUAUAUAAGCGAGGCGACGUCGCUUCAACGAUGUCGUCGAAUUAUAUAUAUAAAUAUAAAUAUAUAUAUAUAUAUGUAUAUAUAUAUAUAUAUAUACCGAGCGGUAUACCGCUCGGUAUAAAGUAUCGUAUCGUACCGAACGAAUGUCGAAACUCCGGUACGAUACGAUAUUUCAAUCCUUGGUUCAUACUUCAUAGCAAGGAUUGAAAUUUCGUACCGUACCGGAGUUUCGAGAUUCACUCAGUAUGGUACAGUACUGUAUACUGAGCGAUAUAUAUAUAUAAAGUAAAAAAUAUAUUUUUCGGCGCCAUCACUUCGACAACGUCGCCUAUAUAUACAUACAUACAUACAUACAUAUAUAUAUACAUAUAUAUAUAUAUAUAUAUACCGUUUUCGCCAUGAUGUCGCCUCUUCUCCUUGCGACGCCGAGAUUCUUCUCCCCGCGUGGAUGAGAGGUUGCCAACAGACGAGGAGGCAGAGCAGCGCAGGUACUCUUCUCCUUUUCUUUCUUUACCUUCUCCCUCGGUCACCCCUCUUCUUUCUUCUUCCUCGGUCACCGUCGAUUUAAAACGAUAAUGGGCGAAAAUAGCCCAAUCGACGGUACCGCUCGGUAGCAAGCGGUCCAUGUACCGAUCUGCUGACGGACCGGUACGUACCACCCGGUACGGACCGUAUUAUUCGAAAUUGAAGACCUUGCUUCAUAGUAUUAUGGAGCAACCACCAUGCUAGGUGAGCCCAUAGUGGGUGUUUCAAAAACAAAAACACUUUUAAACGACAGAAUUACAUAAUUAAUUAACAAUAAUCAAACUGAGAUUAGACACAUUUUUAAACAUCUAAGCUCAUAUAGAUAUAAAAAAUAAACCUUCAACUCAAAUAAACACUAAUUGAUGUUCAGCAAAAACAAUUUUAAACUUGAUUUUACCAUAGUGAUUAAAUCCUAUAUUACAUAGCAAAUGAAAACUAACACCCAACCCAUUGCUAGCAUUGUUUCUCAAUGAUCUUUCUAUCCCUCUAUUUUAAAAAAAACUGUACCUCCAUUUAAGAACAUUAUAACCAGUUUAAUUCAGAUUUGGACCGAUUUAGUUGAAGAAUUGAUCCAGCCCAGCUGGGUUUUAGUGGGAAACUAGUUGUCUUUUUUGACAGGACACUUUGCUUUUUUGACAGGGUACUUUGAUCAUUUUGUAAAGGCGCUUGAUCCCAAAAGCCAAGAAGUGUGGGGCUUUGCCUGAGAAAUCACCCUUGAAAUUUUGUAUGCCUGUCUUGUGUUUGUAAUAUGUUGCAUGACAUGACAUAUCCAACAUGAUAGGCCCUUAUUGUCAUAAGCCAUUGCUAUGCAAAGGGUGUUCUAGUUGCAUCCUUCAGCAUGGUAUGAAUCUCGCAAAGAAACCAUGUCAGUUUGACGUGGCAUAGCCGAAACUUCCCAAAGGUCCCCAAGUUCAAAACGAUGUCCUUGAAUUAAUCAGAUUUCAGCAAAUUGCUUCUCUGUUGCUGUUCUGUUAACACAUACUUCAAACAAAGUCAUGGAUUUUGUGUUCUUUUUACCACAAAGGAUGAAGAAUAUAAGUGCAUUUAAAGAUAAAACUGCAUAAAUAAUCCUAAUCAAAUGCCUUCGAUCAUGUAGAAGAAAGAAUAAAAUUUCAAGACACCUACCUGAUCAAAGCUUGAGUAGAAGGGCAAUACUCUAGGGUAGUUCUGAAGAAUUCCCCAUGAUUGGUCAACAAGGCCCCACCAGCUGCACAAUUCAAUUCAAGUAUUUUAAGUGUCACAACAUAAACAAAAACAAUAGAAUUGAAUGUCAAAAGUCAAAAGCUUCUUCUUUAUUAAUAUCACACACAGGUGUUAAUUUUACAACAAGUUACCCAGAAUUUGUAUCAGAGUGUACCAUGAUGUACAAAGGACAAGUUAUUUAGUAUAACCACAUUUCCUUUUCAAGCUCAUUGUGUUCGUAGGUUGAGAUGUAUUAAUGAACAAAGAAAAAAAAUGAGACUUUUCAAAGUCUGCAAUUGAACCAAUCCGAUUGAUUGGAAAGAAAUCAAUAGUGCAGUUAAAUAGGUAAUAAGUUCAAUUCUGAAGCUUAAAGGCUUAUAACCAAACUUAUGGUGCAAUACUUGCAAAACUAAUGACACAUCAUCAGCAUUUUAUCACCUUUAUCAUCUUCAUCUUUUUCUGAAUAAUUUUAACAUGGAACUUUAAUCUUAAAAGUUAAAACAUACAAGAGCAAGAAAAUAGGUUUAAAUCAUAACAAAUCAACCAAAAAUGUGGUGUGCUGAGAUAUCUAAUUAUGUCAGUGGCCAACCACAAGUUGGCGCCAUGUUCAGGCAAAAGGCCUCAAUCUAGAAAGUUUGAUUACUAGAAACUAAAUUGUCAUGACAAACCCUGACAUAGUGAUCCCAACCCGUAUAAGGUAUAAGGUGGACUAUGUUUACAACAAAUCAUCAUUACAUAUGACUCGCAUAAGUAUAAUUCUUAUCAAUGUCAACUUCUCUCAAUACCUCACAGUAAGAAAAACAAAAAUUUACAAAAUAAUUUCUUUUAAUAUUCACUUCUAUAAAGUUCACCCAAAAAGGAAUACAAAGUGUAUGAACAUACACAUCAAGGAUUAAGCUCUUGAUACCAAACCUGGUACCAGUUGCUUCAAGCCCUAAGCACGCCUUCUUCUAAGAUUCCGAGGAACCUUCAGAAUUUGCUUAUGAAAAUAAUGACAAAAUACAUGUCAAUUUAUAACCCACUUAGGCAAAUGCAAAAGGAGGUUACCCCUCUUAAAAGUAGCAGUAGUCUUCAUUAGUACUGGAUCAAGUUUGAUCCGGUUCAGUUUUCAACAAUUUGUUCUGAAUGUGGUUCAAGCUCGCCCAAGUAGGAAAGAUCUUGUUUCGAUAUAUGAUUCCAUCUAUGACUGGACCAUGUUGUCACAACAAAUCAAGAUCCAUAUGCUAUCAAAUCAAUAGGAUAGCUAAAUGGAGCAAUACUAAAGGCUGGCAUAUCAUCUGAAGGUGCUGACUAGACCUCAAAAGCCCCUAUGAGCUCACCCAAGGUCACCCUAAUUUGGCAAUUAGGUUCUAAUUUCUGUAGGGUCUUCUAGCUUAAUUUCUGGCCUGAGUAAGGGUUUUAUGGUGAUUUGAGUUGGAAUAAAUACAAUUGCAUCCUUAGUUGAUCUGACCCAGCUAGGUUGGGUAAUGUGAGUUAGAUUAGAAAGCUUAAAUAGAAUGUAGCAUCUCAAUACCAUGCUUAUUUGUCAGAACCAAGGUAGGCAAUACCGAAUAAUACCGCCCAGUACGGGCGGUACGUACCGAUCCGAUGGUAUACCGGUACGCGAACCGCCCGUUACCGGACGGAACGAAUAAUAAUAAUAAAAUAAUAUAUAUAUUUUACUUAUUUAUAUUUAUAUAUAAAUAUUAAAAAAAGGCUCGGCGACGUCGCCGAGGCGCUAAUUCGUAUAUAUAUAUAUAUAUAUAUAUAUAUAUAUAUAUAUAUAUAUAUAUAUAUAUAUAUAUAAACGAGGCGAUGUCGCCCCGCGUGGGGAAGGUAAAGGCGACGUCGUCGAGGCGAUGCGACGUCGGCUUUUAAAUAAAUAAAAAAUAUUUAUAUAUAAUCUUUUAUAUAUAUUAAUUUAUAUAUAUAUAAUGCCUGCGAGUUAUAUAUAUAUAUAUAUAUAUAUAUAUAUAUAAUAUACUGAACGGUAUACCGCUUGGUAUACCGUUCCGUACCGUAUCGAACGAACGUCGAAACACCGGUACGAUACGGUAUUUCGAACCUUGGUCAGAACAGUACUGGACAUGUUAAACUGCAGAUGGGUACUAUAGUACUUUUACAUAUAUGUGCUAACAAAUGAAAGGUAAUACAGUACAAUGUACAUGUCAUAUAAUUUUUAUAACACCAAUUCAAGAAUUGAAAGAAUUAUAAAGUUGGUUAACUAAAUCAACAAAAGUAGUUCAAACAAAGAUAAAUAGGAGACCAAAAUAGGAUCCUAUCAACUAAACAAAAUUGAUGUUUCAGAUAAAUUGACCAUAAAAAAUUGUAUUAUGGAGAUCCUAUUUAUCUCAUAAAGAUUAGGCAAGAUCACUCGACAAAUCAUCCAAAUAACAUAUUAAGUUCCCAAAAGUGCACUGAUUAAAAAGAAGACUUAUUUGCACCUUUUAGAUGCAUAUCACUACCUACAACAUAGGUUGUCAUUUUCCUCUAAUUUGAACUGUUUGCAAAACCAAGAGAAAUUCAGGUGGAUGACACCACAGGUUGACCAGCAUAAACUGAGAAUAAUUAGCUAGAAAUUACUAGCCACAAACUAGGCUUUUACUGCUUUAACAGAAACUUUUCACCAACACUAGAGGAUUGAUAACCAAUUGACACUAUGUAAUUGUGUCAAUAAUUUAUUAGACCUUCUCAACUUUUAUCCUUCAAGGAUGACCAACAUAAAUGAAAGGUAUUGAAUGUGGAAAACUUAGUAAUUGGUAUUUCAUCUCUUUUGUACUAGUCAAAAAAAAUUAAUAAUAGUAAUUAUAGGCAAAUAAAUCUAACAAAUUUGUAUUUUAUAAUCGGUACACUCAUCUACUUGGCUACAGUCAAAAAAAUCAAUUUAAUAAUUAAUAGUUAUGAAUGGAGGCUUUUAUAGCAAAGUAAAUCAUCACAUGACUAAGCUGGACAUGAUAUUUAAGGUGUUAUAUGAUUAAGGUACAAAAUACAUACCGAUUUUGUGCAGUUUGAAAAUCAGGUUCUUGUUCAGUUUCAUAGACCCAUCCUGGAGCAAAUAUGGCAGCUGAAACAUCAUCCUUCUUCAACACAUCGAGGGCUACAUUUGUCUGUCAUGGUAAAAGGGAAAAAAGGCAAAAGAAAACAUGCAUAUGGUAUCUUAAAGAAAGUAAACCAAAUCAAGUAUAUAGUAAAUGAUGUAUAAGAUGAAGAAAUUCAAGAAUAUAAUUAAAUGAUGUCCUCUCUAAUCCAGCAUAGUUCCACUAGCAAUCUAUUUGAAGAAGCAUGGUUUUAAAGAUCCAAGGUGGGACACUAAUGAUUCAAACAAUCUACUAGCUUUAUUGUUCCCUGCGAUUGGCUUCGGGCCUUUCCUACACAGCUCGAGUGCAAGUUAGAACCUAUAUGCCAAGGGACAGUCCCAAAUAGAUAGUUUCUAUGGGACAUAGGACCCCCAAAAGAUAACAUUACAUAGGCAUGCAAAGGUUUCCUCAAAUCAAACGGAGAUUGACCCUAGAGUGCAAAUGUAGAAGGGAGCUUUGACUGCAAGACCCACCCAUCAAGCACAGACAAUAGUCGGCCUCAAUGAUUCAAUGAUGCUGAGUGGAAGGGUCGUCACUGAACCAAUAAAAGUUACUUUAAGAAAACAUGCCGAUCGUCAUCAAGAGUUCACAUCUACAGGAAGGUUCAGCACCAUGAUGCCGGCUCUUUGCUACCUAGGAUUGUAGUAUGUUCCAAGAGUUGGGUUGAUCGCCCAUUAAAGCGGUGCAUGAACUGGGUUGCUAACCCAACAUUUUCAAUAGCAGGCUUUACCAAAAUGCUUCACCAGCUGCUAAUAUCAGUAAUAAGUCACUUAUUUCAUGUGUCCCAACUCCCAAAUCCAUUAUCUAAUUUUCUAUGGAUUAUAACAAUCUCCUCAAUUAUUCAACUAAAAGUCUUGCCAAGGCAUCAUUUACACACUAGAAUCCUGCUCUAAAUUCCUCUUAGGACUAAGCAUGAAUGAUUAGCUGCUCCAAUCCUAUGCAUAUCCUCCAUGAUUCUACUCCUUUUAACAUGCUGAAAGUAACCUGACACAAUAUGUGUGAUCCUACAUGGAGGGAUCCACACAAUACUGAAUAUCAUGUAUGAUAACCACAAUAAUCACCAGAAGUAAUAACUUAAACGGAGCAGAACUGUUAAGAUUGCUUGCAGGUAUGCAGUAAACAAGCAUAAUGAUAAUGAUUUUAAGAAACAAGACAACAAAUUUAAGUUGGGACUUGUGAAAAUACUUUUGUUUACUUAUUGAGGAAGAAAGAGGCAAAAACAAUAGACUGUCAUCUACUUGUAGAAUUAAACAAGGUACAAGAACAUUCAUCAAAAAAUUAUAGAAAUUUAAGUAUAAGCAUGUAUGCCUUAGUUUUUUUUUUUUUGCUGUUAUAGUUCCCUGCUGAUUGUUAUUAUAGCUCCUUAAACAUCCAAGAAGAGCUUUUCAUGAAUUUAUUUCAAUGUGCAUAAAUAUGUGAGGAACAAAGAAACUAUUCUGAAAACGUGAAGAUGGUGCAUCAUUACCCGGAUCAUACCCAGAGAAGAAGAGAAGAAAUCAGUAACACAUUGUGCUAAAAGCUUACUGAGGCCAUGCAUUUUUCAUCAAAUAGCAUCUAUAAAUUAAGUUUCAACCUCUUUUUAUUUUGAAUGAGGUAAAAUAAUCAAAAUAGCUGAAGGGUGUUGACAUACAUGCCACUGCCCACCACCAAAGGUAUUUCUGCCAAAAACAUCAAUACCCAUGUAGACAUCAAACCUUCUCUCACCAGCAAUACUAGCCGAAGAUGUAGGGUCUUCGUCCUGCAGGAUUCAAAGACAUAUAAAAGCAAGGAAUAAAAAGGAAGAAGAUAUAAUUUUUAUUGCAUAGCAAAAAAUAAAAUGCUACCUUCCAAGUAUAAUUGACAAAAAUACCAUCGCACAAAUCAAAGAAAGGUUUGUUUUGCAUGUUCAGUUGAUUUUGCCAGUCAAGUUUACCAUCUAUAGUCACAGCAUCAUACCUGCAUAACACAAAUAAAUUAGGCUAGUAAAACCUACAGAGAAAGCAUGAUAUCUAAGUUCAGAUUCCAUAAAAGAAAAAGCAUUUGCUGCGAGAAGUGACCAUAUGACCAAAGAUCCCGGAACUGAAGCAUGCAUAGAACGAGAUAGGUGACCCACGAACUCCUUCAAGUUAUCAAUUUGCCUCUUGUCCAAUUUGACUUCUAUAUUGACCUGAAAGUCUUAAUAUCAUGUCAGCUGCAGAAAAGCCCCUGUCAAAAUGUCGUCUGCCACUUUAUAUGACUAAAAACAUGAAACUAAACUAACAAAAGAAUCACUAAUAUAGCCCCUACAAGAGCCAUUUUACACAGAAACAAGACAGAAAAGGCAGCAUUUCCAGAAUAAUGAAAAAAAACACUCCUCCAAUAUAGCCAUUGCUUAUCCACAAAGUGGGGAGAAAACUAACCAGCCAACCAUCGAAUCCCAAAGCAGUGGCUAGUUCUGUCAACCGUUCAGCAUACAUUUGAGCAGACUCCUUUGACAAAAGCAAGGUGUCACAAAUAACUCUACCUUCAUCCCAUUCCGUCAGGAAAGUUCCUAAGACCUUUUAAUUCAUCGUACCAUGCAACAAAAGAGAAUGGAAGAAAUUGUAAAGCUCUUGCAGAACAGAAAAUUUGAAGUAUCCACAACAAAUCCAAACUACUUUAAUGCAACAUCAAGAGAAGUUUCACAAAGACUAUUUGAAUUUUCUUUGUAGUUUGAAAGUCCAAAACUUAUGGCAUAACAUAAUAGGAAAGACAACAAGGCAAUUCGCAGAGGGAAGAGGUACAAACUUUGACAACUAUCACAGGAAAAAAGAAAUAUCGAAAGAAAAAUAACAGAACAUUAGAAAGAAUUCUGAGUCGUAAGAAGAAUGCAAAUAUAGAAUUUUAUCAAAUCUUUAAAUUACUGAUCUCCAGCAAAAAAAGAAUAAUAUGUCAGAUUUCUUUGUUAAGAAAAGCUCAUCAACAUAGUUACCAAGAAACAUGGAAAUGCAACAUUUUGGACAAUAAUACUGAAGGAGAUAUAAGGUAUGCCACUAUAUACUUGGUUGAUAUUUUGUCGAAAUAGGAUAACUAAAAUAAAAUUGCCAUUUUUGAGUCAUACAAUGCAUUAUAUCACUUAUGCCAUGUGCUAUAUUAAGGAAGAUAUGAUACACUUUGCUAACUCAUUAACUAUAUUUGAUCCCAAAAUCUUACUAUCAACAGUUGAAGUCCUCACCAUCUAAGCUUGAUGGCUUCGAUAAAUGAAAUGGUAACUAGAGUUCCAUUGCCGGGAUUUGAACCCGGGUCGCCUGGAUGAAAGCCAGGAAUCCUAACCGGACUAGAUGACAAUGGAAUAAAAAAUUAUUGAAUGAUAUUCCGAAUCCUCAACCCUUAUUUCUUUGGUACACUACAUCAAACAAAUAUUUUAGGUAUAAUUGAAUUAUAUUUAUGUGAUUAAUCCCCAUUCGAAGAUCCAAAUUAUGUACCUAUUUAUUACAGAUCCCAUAGCACAGCUACUUGGGAUGUAAAAAUGCCGCAAAUCAGGAAGCAAAAUCCAUAACUUCCUAGUAGCUAUGUUCUUCAAUACAGGAAAUUGCAUAAUAAAUCCUUAAGUUACAAAUCCACACCUGCUUUUUCCAAUUUUGUGUAUUUCCAUACGAUUGAUCCAACUAGAUAAAAUAGUUUUGAAUAAUUAAAUAACAAAAAAAUCAGAUAAAAGGUAACUAAAACCCUAAAUCAACAAUCUUCAUCAUGAAUCACACACAUGACGAAUCGAUGAAAUUUUCUAUAGCAAUCUUGUGACCCUUGAUAAGUUUAUUUUGUACCACUUCUGGAAACACCAAGAAUUAGAGGGCAUUAAUAAUUUCUUUUAAUCAAAGAAAUUCCCAAAGUGAUAUUAAUUGCAUUGCAAAAAGAUAUUCUAAAUUUUGCUAAACAAGUGCAAGUAGUUUGAUGCAUUGAACCAAAGAUAGUGCGGAGCUGAUUGUGGCCGCCAUGAAAGAGCCUGGACAAGCCAGGUUGACGAGAAGAUCAAGUUGAGCUAAACGAGUUGCAAAGAAGUGUCAGCAAAUAAGGAUAAAUGCUGCAAAGGAAAGAAACACUAAAAGACUUGAUAGUCUUGUCUUCAGUAAUCUGUGGGACUGAGUGCAAAUGAUUGUGCACCUAAAAUAGUGAUAAGGAUGGUUGACCAAGGUUGCCGAUAAUAGGUGCCUAAGUCCUCCACCACUAAAAGAAUGAUGUCAUCUAACAAGUGAUCGACCAAGGUUGCAGGUCUAGGGGGCUAGCUACAGCUCUGUCCUUCACCACAAUAGUCUAGCUAUGUCACGAAUCAACACUGGUCAAAAUGUUUAAGCUGAAAUUGACAAUAGUAUACCGAUUAGACUUUUAUAAGUCAAUCUUAGUCUUGCCCACUUUCAAUGUGGCAUUAAUCAAGGUGUUACAAUUUUCCUCACUCAAGGACGACAUCCUCAUCAAGGCCCACCAUAGUCCAGAUUAAACCCUAACAUGGUGCAUGUGAGGUGUAGCCCAGUAGCGGCUCCAUGCCGUGACGAAUCCUCUGACUCCAUCAAUGGAUAGUCAUUUCUUACUCGAACCCCUCACCAUGUCUAAAAUUACUAAGUCGUCUCCAAGCCUAAUAGGCCAUCGACCCAUCAACUUCGUUUGACCUAAAUCACUUAUCAAAAUGUUUAAGAUAAAAUUGACAGUAGUAUACUCGUCAGACCCUUAUAAAUCAAUCUUAGUCUUGCUCACUUUCGACGUGGGAUUAUUUAGGGUAUUACAAGCUGCGUGAUAAAGAGCUACCAAACAGUGAAAUUAACCUCCUGCUUGUUGGAAGUGAUCGUGGGUGCAAUGUGAUAUCAUCCUUGAGAGGGUCAAAAGUAACCUCCUGCUUGUUCGUCACCCAUAUAAUCAUAUUGCUUAUUUUCUUUUGUGGUAAGCCCAUUUGUUGGCGAUCAAAAGUAACCUUUUACUCAAAAGCAGAGUCCAUCUUCUUUAUGAAUAGGAUAAGAUGUUCUUUUCUAAAUAAAUGCCCCAAAAAAGUUUCACUGGCUUAACCAAACAAUCGACAAAUAGAAACCAUUAUAUGCAUACGUAAAAUAAUUAUCUAACCACAUCACAUAUUCAAGAAUCAUUCAUCAUCAAAACCUACACCAAUUUACCAAAUGCGGAAACCCAAGACGAAGAACAAAGAGCUCAGAUCAGGAACCUUGGAGGCAAUACCUUGACGCCAUGGGUGUGGGCGGCGUUGGUCCAACACGGCGGCGGCAGUGUGACCAAGUAGUGGGAGAAGUAGACGAAAACGUCCAUCAGGUGCCAAUGCCAUAUGGCGUAGGCGUCGGGGUUGCCCCCGCCCUGCACCCACAGGUCGUCGGUGUACCCGCCCUUCAUGUCGUGGCAGACGAGGAUCCGGCGGCGA